rnacentral:rRNA from 1 species
UACGUAGGUGGCAAGCGUUGUCCGGAUUUAUUGGGCGUAAAGCGCGCGCAGGCGGUUCUUUAAGUCUGAUGUGAAAGCCCACGGCUCAACCGUGGAGGGUCAUUGGAAACUGGGGAACUUGAGUGCAGAAGAGGAGAGCGGAAUUCCACGUGUAGCGGUGAAAUGCGUAGAGAUGUGGAGGAACACCAGUGGCGAAGGCGGCUCUCUGGUCUGUAACUGACGCUGAGGCGCGAAAGCGUGGGGAGCAAACAGG